UACGAAGGGGGCUAGCGUUGUUCGGAUUUACUGGGCGUAAAGCGCACGUAGGCGGAUCUUUAAGUCAGAGGUGAAAUCCCAAGGCUCAACCUUGGAACUGCCUUUGAUACUGGGGAUCUUGAGUCCGGGAGAGGUGAGUGGAACUGCGAGUGUAGAGGUGAAAUUCGUAGAUAUUCGCAAGAACACCAGUGGCGAAGGCGGCUCACUGGCCCGGUACUGACGCUGAGGUGCGAAAGCGUGGGUAGCGAACGGG
rnacentral:rRNA from 1 species